rnacentral:rRNA from 1 species
CAGCAGCCGCGGGAAUACGGAGGGUGCAAGCGUUAAUCGGAAUUACUGGGCGUAAAGCGCACGCAGGCGGUCUGACAAGUCAGAUGUGAAAUCCCCGGGCUUAACCUGGGAACUGCAUUUGAAACUGUCAGGCUGGAGUCUUGUAGAGGGGGGUGGAAUUCCAGGUGUAGCGGUGAAAUGCGUAGAGAUCUGGAGGAAUACCGGUGGCGAAGGCGGCCCCCUGGACAAAGACUGACGCUCAGGUGCGAAAGCGUGGGGAGCAAACAGGAUUAGAGACCCGAGUAGUCCCUGUCUCUUAUAC